rnacentral:rRNA from 1 species
AUGGCGGAGUUCGCGCUUGGGUUGACCAAGACAGCGGUGGAGGGGACGCUGAGCAGGGUCAAGUUGGCGAUAGAGGAGGAGGCAAAGCUCAAGGAGAAGGUGCAGCAAGACCUGGUGUUCAUCACCGGCGAGUUCCAGAUGAUGCAGUCCUUCCUCAAAGUCGCCAACGUGAAGGGUGCCCAAAAUGAAGUGGGGACGACCUGGGUGAGGCAGGUUCGUGACCUGGCCUUUGAAGUUGAGGACUGCGUCGAGUUUGUUGUCCACCUAGACAAUAAGACUGCCUGGGGUUGGUUGCUGCGGUUUGGGCGCAUGUUGGUGUCCUGCAAUGCGCCACCACUGCCCCUAGACAAGGCGGCCAGCGAUAUAAGGAAUAUCAAGGCCAAGGUGGAGGAUGUAAGCCAGAGGAACACACGCUACAACUUCAUCAUCGAUUCUGGCUCCAACUCCAAGCCCGUGUCACUGCCUGAGCAGCCAGCUAGGGCCAAUACAAGCCCAUCAGCAUUCCGCAUGUUACGGGAGGUGUGGGAGGCCACGGGCAAGUGUCGCGGCAUGGGCGACCUUGAGGAGUUGAUCAAGAGUGGAGGCAGUGACCUUGAGGUGAUCUCGAUUUGGGGAAGUACAGGACCCGCUGAUCUUGGGGUGACGUCCAUUCUCAUUAAGGCUUAUAAUGACCCAGAAAUCUGCCAUGGAUUCAAAACCCGUGCCUGGAUUAAGUUGAAGACUCCUUUUAACCCUGAUGAUUUUCUCAAGAGCUUGCUGACUCAGGUUUCCGCGAGCUCUAGCGAAGCAGAUGUAGGUGCAGAAUUCCGAGCAAGCAUGAAAGCAGCAGUGGAUAUGGAAGAUGAUCGCCAGAAGAUUAAACUCAUGCAGCAACUCAUGAGUGGGCUGAAGUACUUCGUCAUCCUGGAGGAUGUAUCCACUGUGGUAGAAUGGGAUAUCAUCAAAUUAUACCUACCGGACAGUAAGAACAGUAGUCGGCUCGUCGUCUCAACAAAGCAGUUACAGAUUGCACUUCUCUGCACAGGGAAGCCAUAUAAAGUAUCAGAGCUCACACGGUUCUCUGAUGAUCAAUCACUUUGUGCCUUCUCGAUGAAGUCUGGGCGUCAUAGUGGAAAGGGUGAAUUUACUUGGCAAAUCGGAUGCCGUGGUGUGAUUUCCUUGUGGGGAACUGGUGACCUCAAAUCAGCUCUCGUCCAUAAAGUGUACACCAGCAUAUUGUAUAAGUCUAAGCAAUUUCACGGAGUGGAAUUUGAACGGCAUAGCUGGGUUGACGUACCUGAUCCUUUUAAUCUGGAGGUCUUCUCUCGGCGUUUACUGCUCAAUUUUCGCUCAGAAAACCUUCAAGUUGAAGAAAUUGCAGCGUCUACAGAAGACUGGGAAUGGAUUAAGGCUACCUUCCUAUCACAGCCUAUUAAAGGUUGUAUCAUUGUCAUUACAAAUGAAGAAAGUGUCGCCAAACGUUGUGUAGAGGAUGAACAUGGAGCUCUCAGCAUCAAGGAUCUAGAAGCCGACCCGGUGCUUCGUUCCAUGAUAAAGGGUUCUCAAUGCUAUGGAAUUGAGGACAAGGAGGCUUCUGGCAGAGGUCGCUUUUUCUCCAUCAGAAGGGAAGAGGCACAUUUUCAUUCAGAUGAUCUACAAGGCAAGAGAUCUGCAGCAGUUGGUAUUAUGGAAGGCCAAGAUCCAACUGAAAUGUGUUGUAAGUUUCUACGGGAAUACAAAUGCUUGGUGGUUAUUGAUGGCCUGCGGUCCAGGGAUGACUGGGACAAGAUAGAUGCUACCUUCUUAUCCAAACCUACUAAAGUACAUACCAUUGUCAUUACAAAUGAUGAAAAUGUGGCCAAAUAUGUUGUAUGUGAGGAACAUCAAGCUUUCAAAGCCGGAGAUAUGGAAUACACAACGGUUGUUCCCCCAUUGACAAAGGCGGGUUGUGUUUCUCACUUACUCUCCAAUAGAUGCGAAGAGGCACGCGUCUGGAUGAAUACAUUCGAACUUGUUGGCCGUCAGGCUAAAUCGGCUUAUGACCUUGGAGAUUUUAUAUGGCAUUACGAUGGUGCGAUCUCUGUGUGGGGAAUUGCUGGUGUUGGCAAAUCAACUCUCGUCAGAAGUGUGUACUACCACGCAAUGCUCGGUUGGCAGCAAUUGUUUGAAAGUCCCAGAUCAGCAUUAUUCCUGUGCGACUAUGCACAAGGAUUUACAAUGUACAGCUGGGUCAAUGCGCCCCAUCCGUUCAACUUGACGGACUUCUCUCGCAGCUUGCUUUUGGAUUUCCUUUCAGAUGAUAUGCAGGCCAAGGAAGCUGCGGCUGUUGGUUUUGUGGAAGGCCAAGACUCAAUUCCAGGCUGUCGUAGGAUUCUGCACAAACACAAAUGCUUCAUCGUUAUUGAUGGCCUACGGUCCACGCAUGAUUGGGACUUGAUAAAAGAGGCCUUCUUACCAGAUAAUACUAAAUCAUGUAUCAUCGUCAUUACAAAUGAAAAAAAAGUCGCCAAGCAUUGUGUACAAAAGGAAGGCCAAGUGGUCAACAUCAAAGGUCUUGACUCGGGCCUUCAUCUCUUCAAAAAGGACAACCUUGCUUUCGCCGCUCUCGCUGGCACGUCUCCUGCUGCUGCUGCCUACCCAGGCAGAAGCUGCGGCGGCUGUGGCAGUAGCGACAUCCUCAGCGGCCUUCUUGUCGGCUUCAAGUUUCUCGGCGACGGCACGUUCGACGUCGGUGGACAUGGUGAUGGCGAGGGCGACACGGACAUAACUUGGGAUGGCAAGGAAUUGACUGCAGAUGAGAAAAUGCUCUCUGAACGUAUGGUAGCCAAGUGUGGCGGGAUACUCAAAGUUAUCGUUGCUAUAGGCGAAGUCAUCGCCAAAGAAAUAACUCCUUCAGGAGAUGAACCUGUGGACAUUUUUGAAGAAAAAGUAAAAGAUUUGUUGAAUCAUGACUUUAUGAGAACCCUAGAGAAGGUUCCAAAAUUCCAUAGCUUAAGGGGGUUAUUUGCUUGGAUGCAGUCUUACUUUGAUGCUUGUUCCGAUUCAGUCAAGCCAUGUAUCUUCUAUAUGUCAGUUUUCCCAGCAAAACACAACAUCAGACGGAGGCGUUUGCUACGGCGGUGGAUGGCGGAAGGUUACUCUAGGGACACAUCUGAUAAGAUAGCCGAGGAGAAUGGGGAAAGGUUGUUUUCUGAGCUUGUCGGCUUGAGCAUAAUCCAACAUCUAGAGACCAAUGUCAUGUGCCAGGUUAAUGCUUUCUUCCAUGAAUAUAUCAUCUCACGGCCAAUGGAAGAUAACCUUGUCUUUGCACUGGAUGGGCAUUGUAGCCUCAACUCGCAGUAUGCAGGACAACACCUCACCAUAAGGAGUAGCUGGGACAGAGAUGAUGUUGUAUUCAAGGGCAUCGAUGUCUCACGGCUAAGGUCUUUGACAGUGUUUGGUAAUUGGAAAUCCUCCCUCAUCUCUGAAAAGAUGAGGCUGGUACGGGUGUUGGAUUUGGAGGACGCAUUGAAUGUGACAAAUGAUGAUCUUGAGCAAAUUGUGAAGCUACUGCCUCGCCUUAAGUUCCUCUCCCUACGAGGGCACAAAAAUAUUAGCCAUCUACCAGUAUCAUUGUGUGGCCUGAUACAAUUGCAGACUCUGGAUGUGAGAGGCACCUCUGUACUCACACUGCCACGAGGCAUCAUGAAGCUACAGAAGCUGACAUACAUUCGUGCCGGCACCAAAAAAACAUCGGGUGAAGGUGAUGACAUAGUUGUCAGCUUACCAGGAACAGACGUAGUCCAAACAACAACAACACUGGCGAACAAUGACAACGCAGCCAGAGUCCAAGAAGCUUUAGUUGGAGAUGAUGUCCGGACAUCAACAACACCAUGGAGAAGGCCACGUACUUUGGUAUCCAGUUGGUUGCCCAAGUUCCGCAAACUCCGAUAUGAUAAUGGUGGUGUUAAGGUUCCUGCAGGGAUUGGAAACAUGACAGCUUUGCAUACUCUUGGCGUUGUCAAUAUCAGUGUUUCAGGUGGGAAGGCCAUCCUUGAGGUGCUUAAGAAGCUUACCCAAUUACGCAAGCUCGGCGUGUCCGGCAUCAACCGGGAGAACUGGCAGGAGUUCUGUUCAGUCAUCUCAGGUCAUGGCCAUCUGGAGUCACUAUCAGUGCGAGUUGAAGAGGAUAAGGAGGGUAUCUUUGCUCGUUUCAGUGACAUUUGUGAACCACCCAAGACCCUCAAGAGCCUUAAGGCGUACGGGCAUGUCCAAAUAUCCCCAGUCUGGGUGAAGCAGGGGAGAACUACAUCACUGGAGGCCGACCUGGACGCCGCCGGGCUCUGGGAAGCGGUCGUGCCACCGGAGGACGCGGCGUCGGCCGUGAUCGCCAAGAAGGAUAAGCCGGUGUGGGCUUAUCUGUUGCGAGCGCUCGCCGAUGAUCUGCUGCUGCAGGUGGCCGCGAAGAAGACAGCGGCGGAGAUAUGGAGUAGUCUCAAGGCCCGGUUCGUCGGGGCCGAUUGCGUCAGGGCGGCGCGACUGGGCACGUUGCGCAGCGAGUUCGAGCUCCUGCGGAUGGACGGUGGUGAGUCGCUGGAUGCCUUUGCGGGCAAAAUCAGUGGCAUGGCGGCGCGCUACGCCGGGCUGGGAUCGACUCUCGACGACGCGGCGACAGUGAAGAAGCUGCUGGACUGCGUCUCGGAUUGCCUGUACGCGGCGGUCGCCGGGAUGGAGCAGUUCUGCGACCUCUCGACGCUGCUGUUCGAGGACGCGCUCGGGCGCCUGAAGGCGGCCGUUCCCAUUCCCAGCUGGCCGCGUGUGGACGACAGGAGGCUGCAGCGUUCCAUGCCGCCGGCACUCCCCGUGUCCAAGGUGCUCGACGAUGACAACCUGCUAAUCGAGAUCCUCGUCCGUCUCCCUCCCAAGCCGUCCUCCCUACCCCGCGCGUCUGCCGUCUCCAAGCGCUGGGGCAGCAUCCUCUCCGACCCUGUGUUCCACAAACGCUUCCGCAAGCACCACCAGAAGCCCCCUCUUCUCGGCUUCUUCAACGGGUGUGCUAACUGCUUCACUCCCAUCAUGGGCUCGCCCAACCGCAUCCCUGCUGCCCGUUUCUCCCUGCCCAAGAGCGCCAUACCCUACAAUGACUACGGGGUCUUCAGGGGCUGUCGCCACGGCCUCGCUGUCCUAAUCGAUGGCCGGGUGCCUGAGACUGUCGUGUGGGAUCCCCUCACUAGCGAACAACACAUCGUGGCUUUUCCACAAGGGCUCGACGAUGCCUUACCGGGGCAUUUGUGUACCUGGCAUGGCGCGGUGUUGUGUGCUGAUGCCGAUGAUGGGCAUGUCCAUGGAGAUUGCUUCUCGAGCCCAUUUAAAUUGGUUUUGGUCUGCUGUGGUGGACACAAUACACAUGCAUUUUGUUCUGUCCAUGACUCAGCCUCUCGUGUUUGGGGAGAUGUUUUCUCGACCGUGAUAACAAAUAGAAGUUCUGUGUUAAUAAGGCCCAACAUCCUAGUCGGGAAUGCACUUUGCUGGUUGAUUUCUCAAGGUGGUAUCUUUGUUUUAGAUUUCAAAACUCAGAGCCUUGAUGUGAUCGAGAAGCCAGUAGAUUGCCGUGGUCCCGAUGGGUAUUUUCAGCUCUUACGAAUGGAGGAUGGUGGACUUGGCCUCGCUGUUUUGUUGAACCUGACCAUCCAAUUAUGGGAGAGGAAAUCCAAUUGCAAUGGUAUUGUCGAAUGGGUGUUGUUGCGGAAAACCAUUCCACUAGAGGGGAUGUUUCCAAGGAAAUUGGAUUUUGCAUUUUUCAUUGGGUAUGAUGAGGACACAAAUGUGAUUGUUCUCUCUACGAUUAUUGGCCAAUUCAUGCUCCAACUUGAUUUAAUGCAGAGCAAACAUAUUGUGAUAACUAAUAACAGCAUAUCUUAUGGCACCUUUUACCCCUACUCGAAUUUCUAUACUGCAGGUAAUACCUCCCUGUCUACAUUGCACACGCAAAAGUAG